GACGAACGCUUGCGGCGUGCUUAACACAUGCAAGUCGAACGGAAAGGCCCUGCUUUUGUGGGGCGCUCGAGUGGAAAACGGGAGAAUAACACGUGAGAUACCCGCCCUUGAUUUUGAUAUAACUGCAAGAAAGUGGGGCUAAUACCAGAUAAAACCUCCUGCUGCAUGGGGGGGGAAGGAAAUUUUCGGGUGGUAGGAAUGGACUCCCUACUUAUCAGCUUGUUGGUGGGGUAGUGGCCUACCAAGGCUUUGACGGGUAGCCGGCCUGAGAGGGUGACCGGCCACAUUGGGACUGAGAUACGGCCCAGACUCCUACGGGAGGCAGCAGUGGGGAAUAUUGCACAAUGGGCGCAAGCCUGAUGCAGCAACGCCGCGUGCGGGAUGAAGGCCUUCGGGUUGUAAACCGCUUUCGCCAUGUGACGAAGCUGUGAGUGACGGUAAUGGGUAAAGAAGCACCGGCUAACUACGUGCCAGCAGCCGCGGUGAUACGUAGGGUGCGAGCGUUGUCCGGAUUUAUUGGGCGUAAAGGGCUCGUAGGUGGUUUGUCGCGUCGUCUGUGAAAUUCUGGGGCUCAUUCCGGGCGUGCAUGCGAUACGGGCAUAACUUGAGUGCUGUAGGGGUAACUGGAAUUCCUGGUGUACCGGUGAAAUGCGCAAAUAUCAGGAGGAACACCGAUGGCGAAGGCAGGUUACUGGGCAGUUACUGACGCUGAGGAGCGAAAGCAUGGGUAGCGAACAGGAUUAGAUACCCUGGUAGUCCAUGCCGUAAACGGUGGGCGCUAGGUGUGAGGGUCUUUCUACGACUUUCGUGCCGUAGCUAACGCAUUAAGCGCCCCGCCUGGGGAGUACGGCCGCAAGACUAAAACUCAAAGGAAUUGACGGGGGCCCGCACAAGCGGCGGAGCAUGUGGAUUAAUUCAAUGCAACGCGAAAAACCUUACCUGGGCUUGACAUACACUAGAUCGCUGCAAAGAUGUAGUUUCCCUUUGUGGUUGGUGUACAGGUGGUGCAUGGUUGUCGUCAGCUCGUGUCGUGAGAUGUUGGGUUAAGUCCCGCAACGAGCGCAACCCUUGUCUUAUGUUGCCAGCAUUUGGUUGGGGACUCAGGGGAGACCGCCGGGGUCAACUCGGAGGAAGGUGGGGAUGACGUCAAGUCAUCAUGCCCCUUAUGUCCAGGGCUUCACGCAUGCUACAAUGGUCGGUACAGAGAGUGGCGACCCUGUGAGGUGGAGCGAAUCUCGGAAAGCCGGCCUCAGUUCGGAUUGGGGUCUGCAACUCGACCCCAUGAAGUCGGAGUCGCUAGUAAUCGCAGAUCAGCAACGCUGCGGUGAAUACGUUCCCGGGCCU
rnacentral:rRNA from 1 species